UAAGAAAAGACACUUCAGUUUAUUUCCCAAAAGAUAUCGUGAAAUCAAAAAAGUGAACAACCCUAGCAGAGAUUUUACCAAGCUAACAACAAUCCUCCCUUACAACGAUCUUAGUAAAGCUCUCAACUAAAAAUGAGAAAGCACAGGUUUUCCUAGCAGCAAACCCAGGCCAGGUCUCAUUGAUUAGUGUUUCAUGCGUACGUUUUCUAAGAAUAUAGAAAGCAGACGUAUGACUAGAAGUGAUCUACACCGAAUAUAUAUCUUCUAUUCACUCGGAUCUCAGGUUCAAUACGAAAACUGAAAAUAUGGAUGGAUCAAGUAUUUAAUGAACUAUCAAAUACACAUUUGUUGCGCCCGGGGAAAUUUGAAAAGGACAAGGACGAGAGAUUAAAUCUUUAACAUCAAAAGGAAAAAAUCCAAAUUAUUGAUAUACCUAGAUAAACCUUGGUGAAUUUUGAAUUCUUUUGUGAAGAUUGAAGCUACAAGUGAACAUGUACGUUUAGAAGAAGAAUAGGACCACUAAUAUUUUCCUAGGAAAGUUACGAAAAACUUUAAAUCGUGACCUAGAUCGGGAUAUUGCUCAUUUGCCGAGUUUUUUUUUUGUAAGAAAAUGUUUAAACUAGCAUGGGAUGUUAAUUUGUUUUAUAUUUAUGGCAGCCUUUUGUAUGAAGAUAUUCCGUAGCAGUCUUAUAUUUAUUGGCAACGUUUAUAAAAUUUUUGUGAUAUAAA